AUACUGCCCAAAAGCCGCGUACGGAGCCCCUUUGGUGAUCGUACUGCAAACCGACUCAGGUGGACGGGGUGAAUAUCCCAAGGCGCGUGAGAGAACCCUGGUUAAGGAACUCGCAAAUUGACACCGUAACUUCGGGAGAAGGUGUGCCGCUGGCGGUUAGUGACUUCGCGUCACGAAGCUGUCGGUGGUCGCAGUGAAAUGGCGGUUGUGACUGUUUACUAAAAACACAGGACUCUGCGAAGUCGUAAGACGACGUAUAGGGUCUGAUGCCUGCCCGGUGCUGGAAGGUUAAGGGGAUAUGUCAGCGCAAGCGAAGCAUUGAACCGAAGCCCCAGUAAACGGCGGCCGUAACCAUAACGGUCCUAAGGUAGCGAAAUUCCCUCGGGUAAGUUCCGACCUGCACGAGGGCAUAACAACAUCCGCACUGUCUCGACCAGGGACUCAGCGAAAUUACAUUGGGGGUGAAGAUGCCCUCUACCCGCGGAAAGACGGAAAGACCCCAUGAACCUUUACUGCAACUUGGCAGUGAUUUUCGGGUUGUUCUGCGUAGGAUAGGUGGGAGGCUUUGAAGCCGGGCUUCCGGGUUCGGCAGAGCCAACGUUGAAAUACCACCCUGAAUAAUCUGGAAAUCUAACCUGCGCCCAUGAUCUGGGCGAGGGACACUGCCUGGUGGGCAGUUUGACUGGGGCGGUCGCCUCCUAAAUUGUAACGGAGGCGUGCGACGGUUCCCUCAGGCUGAUUGGAAACCAGCCGUAGAGUGCAAACGCAUAAGGGAGCUUUACUGCGAGACUGACAAGUCGAACAGUUGCGAAAGCAGGUGUUAGUGAUCCGGUGGUACCACAUGGAAGGGCCAUCGCUCAUCGGAUAAAAGGUACUCUGGGGAUAACAGGCUGAUCGCGCCUGAGAGUUCACAUCGGCGGCGCGGUUUGGCACCUCGAUGUCGGCUCAUCGCAUCCUGGGGCUGGAGCAGGUCCCAAGGGUUUGGCUGUUCGCCAAUUAAAGCGGUACGCGAGCUGGGUUUAAAACGUCGUGAGACAGUUUGGUCCCUAUCUUCCGUGGGCGCAGGACACUUGAGAGCAGCUAUCCAUAGUACGAGAGGACCUGGAUGGACGAACCUCUGGUGCUCCGGUUGUCACGCCAGUGGCAUAGCCGGGUAGCCAUGUUCGGAACAGAUAACCGCUGAAGGCAUAUAAGCGGGAAGCUGGCCUCAAGACUAGGUGUCCCUGACGCAAGUCACUAAAGGCCCCUCGAAGACUACGAGGUUGAUAGGCUCGGUGUGGAAGCGCUGCGAGGCGUGGAGCUAACGAGUACUAAUAGGCCGUGCGACUUGACCCC
rnacentral:rRNA from 1 species